GUUAAAUUAUUAAUAUUUAUAAAAAAAAUAAUUUUUUUUUGUAAAAUAUUUUUUGUAUUAUUUAAAGAUAAAAUAAUUUUAAUUAUAGAUGAUUUUUAUUGAAAAAGAAAUUUGAAAUAUUAUGAAAAUAAUAAAAAUAAAAAAGAAAAUAUUAUUAUUGUACCUUGUGUAUCAGGGUUUAUUAAUUAAAAAAUAAUAAUAAUUAUUUUUCUCGAUUUAAAAAGAUUUAAUAUUAUAAUUUAAAUAAUGUAGCAUAAUUAUUAAAAAUUUAAUAUUGGAAAUGAAACGUUAUUCGUUUUUUAUGGUAUCUAGUUUUUUUAGAAAUAAAUUUAAUUUAUAUAAAAUAAAUAAUUUUAUUUAAUUUUUUAAAUAAAAUUUUUAUUCUAUAAAUAUUUUAAGGGAUAAGCUUUAAAUUAAAUUUUUAUAAUUUUUAAAAAAAAAUUAAUAAAUAUAAGCUUAGAAUUAGUUAUUAAUAAAAAGUAUUUAAUAAUUUAUUUUAAAUUAUUAAUAUUAAUUUAUUAAAAAUUUAAAUUAUUUAUAAAAAUGUAAAUUUUAAUAAUAAAAAUUUAGGAAUAAUGAUAAAAUUAGUAUAAAAAAUUAUAUAUUAUAAAUAUUUUUAUAAAUAUUUUUAUAAAUAACUCGGCAAUUAUAAUAUUCACCUGUUUAUCAAAAACAUGUCUUUUUGUAUUUUAUUUAAAGUCUAACCUGCCCAUUGAAAUAUAUUUUAAAGGCUGCGGUAUUUUGACCGUACAAAGGUAGCAUAAUAAUUAGUUUUUUAAUUGAAAGCUUGUAUGAAUGGUUGAAUGAAAUAUUAACUGUUUCUUAAAAAUUUAAUAGAAUUUUAUUUUUUAGUUAAAAAGCUAAAAUUUUUUUUAAAGACGAGAAGACCCUAUAGAGUUUUAUAUUUUAUAAAAUUAAUUUAUUUAAAAAUUGUUUAAUUUUUUUUAAAAAAAUAUUUUGUUGGGGUGAUAAUAAAAUUUAAUAACCUUUUAUUUUAUUUUUACAAUUAUUUUUGAUUAAUUGAUCCAAUUUUAUUGAUUAAAAGAUUAAAUUACCUUAGGGAUAACAGCGUAAUUUUUUUUUAGAGUUCUUAUCGAUAAAAAUUUUUGCGACCUCGAUGUUGGAUUAAGAAUAAUAUUAGGUGUAGAAGUUUAAUUAUUAAGUCUGUUCGACUUUUAAAUUCUUACAUGAUCUGAGUUCAAACCGGUGUGAGCCAGGUUGGUUUCUAUCUUAAAUUAUUUAUUAUAUUUUAGUACGAAAGGACCAAUUAUAAAAUAUUUUUUUAUAUUUAUAUUUAUUGAAUAAAAUUAAUUA
rnacentral:rRNA from 1 species